UUGUGCGGAUUGCCUAACUCUGCCACCGCUCAAGGUCCGUUCGCAUGACAUCGUCUGGCAGGGGCGGGGGAACCAAUUUUGGCCUUUGUAUUUGAAAGGCCUUGGGGUUAAGUCGCAAAAGCUUCCUUGGAAGCGGAGCGGCCGGGUGACUCCCAUCCGAAUCCGACAGCUCACCUCGCAGGCAUUGGGAGAGGCUAC
rnacentral:sRNA from 1 species